AGUGUGAUGUUAUUACACUAGAUUGUAAAGUGAGAAGCUAUUCCGGUAGGAAAUUAUAUGAGCACCGACAGCUUUUAUUUUGAAAAGACGACCAAUCCAUUUCAAAACAGUGGGUAAUUUCCUGUCCCGAAAUUAUUAUCUUCAUUCAAAUUUAAUAUGUUGUGAACAAAACUGUGAAUUAUUACCUUUAAUGUUUAACAUAUUGAGUUCAUAGAUUGUUGUUUAAAGUAUCAGUUCGAAAUUUAAAAAGAAAAGUUAUCGGGUCAUACCAUUAUAACCUGUGAAAGGUUUUCCCACGCUUUCCGUCGCGCUCUUUCUGUUCGGAUCCCGUGGGAGAAGGCGCUGUGGAACACUGUGAAAAGAAAAGCCUGUUCUUGAUUACUAUUUUCUGCCAUUUGAAUGCAGGAUCAUUAAAAGUGCUUUCCAAUCAGCUGUGGUCUGGCUGUGGUCACUCUUCUACAAGACACAACGCAGAAUCAACUACGCUACAAAACUGGUGCCGUGACCCGUCGUCUGGUCAGCUGAAGCCGACCGCUGGUGUUGUUGGUCGACGCC